CAGAGAGAGAUCUUAUUGAUGGUAACUCUCAGCCCAGCAGGGCCCUUAUAUUCCCUGGCUGAUGGAUGUUCCCCUUUGAUGCAGCACUCCAUGCUGCCAUGCAGGCGUUCAAUAAAGCUUUGGGGGGCUGACGAUCCAUCACAACAGCACAUCAGCUACAUGUUAGUCAAUUAACCUCCAUUUAAUUGGAAUUAGCUUUUGAGUUAAGUUCUGUUAACCAAAUUGGUUUAAGGUUUGCGUUCAGUUAACCUUACCCAAAUUGGUUUUAGAUUUGACAUCACACUUAAACAAAUUGGUUUUAGCUUAGUAAUCUAUUAACUUCACCCACAUUGGGUUUUGUUUUGUAAUCAUUUAACUGCAACUAAAUUGGUUUUUGAUUUGUUGUUAAUUAAUCUUAAUCAAAUUGGUUAUAGCUUUUUAAUUAAUUAUUUUAACAAAAUUGGCUUUAGCUUUCAAUCAGUCAUUGUUAAUCAAAUUGGCUUUAGUUUUGCCAUUUUAUUUUUAAUUAAAUUGGCUUUAGUUUUCUAAUCAUUUAAUGUUACUUAAAUUGGUUGUAGCUUUACAACCAUUUAAGUUUAAUCUAAUUGGCUGUAGCUUUGCAAUCUAUCUACCUUAAUUGAAUUGGCUUUAGCUUUGCAUUCAAUUGAUCUUAACCCAAUUGGCUUUAACUUUGCUAUUAUUUAACCUUAACCAAAUUGACUUGAGUUUUGCAAUCAUUUAAUGUUACUUAAAUUGGUUGUAGCUUUACAACCAUUUAAGUAUAAUCUAAUUGGCUGUAGCUUUGCAGUCUAUCUUAAUUGAAUUGGCUUUCGCUUUACAAUCAUUUAAUCCUAAACUAAUUGGCUUUAGCUUUGCAAUCAUUAAAUUUUAAACUAAUCCUCGCGCUCUCUCUUUCGUCUUCUUUAAUUGUCGCGCACCCGUCGACUCCAGUUGGCUGCACAAGUAACCCUUUC
rnacentral:lncRNA from 1 species